GAUGGGGGUCUCACUAUGUUGUCCAAGCUGGUCUUGAACUCCUGGACUCAAGAUAUCCUCCUGCCUGGGACUAUAGAUAAGAAGUUGAAGAAGCUAUGAGAGAUCAAACAGCCAGCACUCACCCUCACAUCGAAGGACCAGGGCA